rnacentral:rRNA from 1 species
CGAGUUCCCGUAUGAUCUCCGAAGUUAAGCAACGUUGAGCCUGGUCAGUACCUAAAUGGGUGACCGCCUGGGGAUAACAGGUGCUGUAAG